UUUCACGAAUAGAGUACAUGUACAUGUAGGUAUAUGAUAAGGCUUUUUUGCAAUUGUAUCAAAUAUCCUUCAAAUUUAUUAGGACCACAAGACAUUUUAUAAGUCUUGAAUACUGUCUUUCACAUAUUUUUGUUUGUUUGACCUUUGUUUGAAUUUAUUACAUGUUAUAGGAAACAUACCCUAUUUUCAUUUUGAGAUUUUCCCAUUUAGUCAAGUAUUUUGAAAUACAAAAGUGUUUAUUAUAUUCAUGCAAAAUUUCAGGCUACAAUUUUAAAUUUGAACAUGUUUAUUCUGUCUUAGUGCCAUUACAACUGACAAUUCUUAUCUUAAUUUUAGUCUAACAUGCACAGAUUGUAUAUCAAAUAUUUGAGCUGCUAUGGAAAGAAAUCGACUGAUAAUAAUGCAAGUACACAUAUUCAUGUACAUUUUGUACAUGUGUAUUAAGACUGUGUUUGAUUUUAAAACAUUCAAAUAUGAAAUAAAAGAUGAAUUUUAGUCUUUUUUGUAGGGUCCUAUCAACUCAGUUUUCAAGCAAUUAUUAUAGACUUUGCAUGGAGGUUUUUUUUUUCAACACAGAUGUAUUGAUAUUCGUCUGCAUACGGUCAAUUUCUAUCUGACACAACUCAUUUGUCAAUUCAACUAAUGUUAAGGAUGUACUUAGGUGAAGUUUUGGAAUGAGUGUCAAAUGUUCGGACUCCUUAGUGUUUUUCCAUACCAUACAAGGUAAAAUAUUUUGCCCCAUAACACCUAUUUAUCUUUUAACAUUACAAGGCUUAAUAGCUCAUAAAAGGUCAUUUGACAAAAUUUAAGCAGAUUCUUGAUUUCCUUUCUUUUGAUUUGAGACCUAAAUAAUACCAAUGCAAAUAUAAGGUAAAAGUCUGGUUUAGCCUUUUCCCGCCAUAUUUUAUUAAUCAAAUAUCUCAACAGUCAGGGGACUUACUGAAAUAAGUGAUUUUUAAAUCACUUAUUUGAGUAGCAAAUUCAAGGUUUUGUCACAAAUUGGGAUUUUGUAGUUUUUUCAAAAUUUUAAACACAUAGGUUUAAAUAAUAUCUUUUAAUUAGUAAAAUUUAAAAAAAAUGAACUUUUUGCUUCUUUUAAGUAGCAAGGUUUAUGCCUUUGAUGCUAUCAUUUAGCUGAAAAUUUUAUUUUAGUUGAAAAAAUGCUAUAAUAAUGGCUUUACAUAAUGAACUGAUACUUUCUUAAAAGAUUUUUCACAGCAGUCACUGAGUGGGAGGAUUUUUUCUGUGAAGUUCAAGGUUUCAUCUUUCAGAUUAUGUAAUAAAAUUCUACUGUUCGCUAUAAAAAUUUCACUGUUCGGGGGGUGUUGAAAUUAGUGGGGGUUAUUAAAAGAAUGAUACUUAUAGAAGUGAUUUUUGGGAAGGAAAUUGAGGUCUGAUACUUAAACAAGUGAUUUUUAUGUCAGUAUCCUAGAUUCAGUACAAGGUCAUCACCUGAAAUGACCUGGUCAUCCUAGACAACACAGAUGUUGGUUCUGAUAAGUUUAGAAACAUAAUUAGUCCAUGGAUCAUUAGUAUUCUAUAUUUAAAGCUACAAUAAAAUUAAAUCACUUCUUCUAGUGAUUAAUUUGUA
rnacentral:lncRNA from 1 species